GCGAGCGGCGGAUGGGUGAGUAACACGUGGGGAACCUGCCCCUAAGUCUGGGAUACCAUUUGGAAACAGGUGCUAAUACCGGAUAAUAAAGCAGAUCGCAUGAUCAGCUUUUGAAAGGCGGCGUAAGCUGUCGCUAAGGGAUGGCCCCGCGGUGCAUUAGCUAGUUGGUAAGGUAACGAGCUUACCAAGGCGACGAUGCAUAGCCGAGUUGAGAGACUGAUCGGCCACAUUGGGACUGAGACACGGCCCAAACUCCUACGGGAGGCAGCAGUAGGGAAUCUUCCACAAUGGACGCAAGUCUGGUGGAGCAACGCCGCGUGAGUGAAGAAGGUUUUCGGAUCGUAAAGCUCUGUUGUUGGUGAAGAAGGAUAGAGGUAGUAACUGGCCUUUAUUUGACGGUAAUCAACCAGAAAGUCACGGCUAACUACGUGCCAGCAGCCGCGGUAAUACGUAGGUGGCAAGCGUUGUCCGGAUUUAUUGGGCGUAAAGCGAGCGCAGGCGGAAAAAUAAGUCUAAUGUGAAAGCCCUCGGCUUAACCGAGGAACUGCAUCGGAAACUGUUUUUCUUGAGUGCAGAAGAGGAGAGUGGAACUCCAUGUGUAGCGGUGGAAUGCGUAGAUAUAUGGAAGAACACCAGUGGCGAAGGCGGCUCUCUGGUCUGCAACUGACGCUGAGGCUCGAAAGCAUGGGUAGCGAACAGGAUUAGAUACCCUGGUAGUCCAUGCCGUAAACGAUGAGUGCUAAGUGUUGGGGAGGUUUCCGCCUCUCAGUGCUGCAGCUAACGCAUUAAGC
rnacentral:rRNA from 1 species